rnacentral:lncRNA from 1 species
GACAGCCUAAUACUACCAAGUCCAUUGCAUUUUCUGUUAUCCCCCUGUUCUAUAUAUAGAUUUGAAGAGAUGAGAUUUUUAAAUUGCUACAAAAGAGAGAGUCUACAAUUUCGCAAUUAUCAACAAAAUUAUAGAGAGAGAGAGAGAGGCUUUUGACAUUUUUGGUCUGUAAGAUAUGUAAAUAGUAGAAAGGGAGGGGGAGUGAGUAUUUUGCAAAAGAGUGUUUGAAACUUGAAAAGUGAAGUAAAAUAAGGACUAGGAGGGGAUGCAUGCUUAUACCAUUAUGACAUGUUCCUUUUGGAAUGGGAUUCUCUGGCUUAGCUCCGAUUCUUCACAAGCUGAUAAUCUUUUGGGACCAACCUGAAGCCCUUCACACGACAGGUUAUGAGAUUUUGAUGGGUUUGCUUUAUGGGUUAGGAGCUCUGGUUUAUGCAACUAGGAUCCCAGAGAGAUGGAUGCCGGGUAAAUUCGAUAUAGCAGGACAUAGCCAUCAGUUGUUUCAUGUUCUGGUAGUUGCUGGUGCGUUCACGCACUAUAGAGCUGGGCUAGUGUAUCUUAAGUGGAGAGAUAUUGAAGGAUGUUGAAGAUGAAGAUUAGAUGGAUUCUUUGAUGUUUUAAAUCUUGUUUGUAGUAGCUUCAUAUAGAAGUUGGAUUAUGUAAAGUCUUAUCUGUAAUCAAACGUUUAAUUGUUUCCUUUAUUCAUCAAAAGGAUUGAUAUUGUUAAUCUACAUAUUACUGGUUAAAGAAGCUGAAGGAUUCAUAUUUUUAGAUGAGAGAUACACUGUUUAUUAUUGUUUUCAAUAUAUGAGAGGAGGAACUCCCAUACUAUUUUUAUUUUUUUAGCCAAUGAGAGAGCUCCACUUCAUACCCCACUUUUACCAAUCGUGCCAUUUCACAUCCACAAAAAUCAUUCCUUUUAGGAUCCACGCACCUCAUUCUCAAAAAUCCAUCGCGUGUCUUAUUUUUUGGGUUUUCUUCUCUAAACCAAAGUAAACCGAACCGAGAUCAAUUUGAAUUUCAAACCAAUGUAAACCCAUAAAACCCAUCUGUGAAAACAAAAAGCUCGGCCACAAAAAUGGAGACGACACAGAGGUACAACUUGGAAGAGAAAUCAAUUCGAAAGAGCCAAGAGAAUGUAUUUUAUCAUCCUAACGGACAUACCGUAUUUCAGCCAAAAUCAAUUCGAAAAACCGUUAAUAAACCGGCUAAAAAUUGUAACCAAAACCAGAUUCAAAUUGCAAACUGAACUAAACCGGAAAACAGAGACUUGUGAACCUGAGAGCGGUGGUCGAGGCUGCUGCUGAUAUCAAUCUCGGUGAGCCAGAUUGGGAGCUGGAGCGUAGCGAGUUUAUCGAGGAUGGCUCUCAUCAGCGCUACGUUUGGCGUCGUGAAGUGACCCUCGAGACCGAUUCCGUCCAUCCUUAUGCCGUCGUACCGUUGGAGUUCCCUCACCCUGGCGAUGUAUUCGUCAACCGUUGACUUCUCGUCGCUGCAAGUCUCCACCACGUUGAAAUCAUUGAAGAACAGAGUCGCCAACGAGUCAAUCUCACGAACCGCGGCGAAGAACCCGUACGACGUUCUUCCCCAGUCUGCUCUCGUAGAAGUCGAAGUGAAGCAUCUCGUUGCUCACGUCCCAAUGCACGAACUCUCCUCUGUACCGAGUCAUUAGACUCUUGAUUCGCCGGUUAACCGCCGACCGGAGAUCUUCGCCGGUUAGAUUACGAACCCAGUCGGGAUUGUAUUUGGGAUCCUCCCAGAAUAUGUUGUGGCCGCGAGCGAUGAUUCUGUUAGCUCUGACGAGAUUCAUCAUCUUAUCAGCCAAUGUGUAGUUGAGUUUGCCUUGAUCGGACUCCGUCGCGUACCAUUUCAGCUCGUUCUCGAAUACCGUGGCGUCGAAUCUCUUGACGAACCAUUCCUACCAAAACAGAAUCCGUUUAAAGAAGCAAAGACAUUGUUGUUUUAGUGUAGACUUUAGCGAGUGUGUUUUACUUGGUAAGGAAUGUUUCCAAGGAUAGUUUUGGAGAUGGCAGAUCCAAUGGGGAAGUCUUUAGAGAUCUGCUCUACUGUCACCUCUGCUCCUUCAACGCUCUCUCCGUUUUCUUUUGACACGUGAAUUGUCACUGCUCGUUUUCUCGCUUGAAAAUGAGUGUUAAGAGGGAACCACAUAAAGAAUACAGUUUGCGAUUUUGAUGUUAGAAAUGAGUGUGUGUAUUAUGCAACAUGGUAAACUAUUAUUGUGUCGAUAGUCUUCCUAGCUAGAAGAGUUAGGCAGCGUGUCCUGUUUAUCUUAACAGCGGUACAAGACAAGUAUGAGUUGCAUUUCAGCUACAAGAGAGUACAAGAGAUUGUCUGAGAUUAAGGCAUUGUUUUGUGAUACAUCAGCUUAAGCUAUAUCAUCAUCAAAACAUGAAGAAUGCUCCAUGUAAAGAGAGGACAAGGUUGCAGUUAUUAAAGAAAAGUUCUUGGUGGUUCUUUUGGGAAUAAAAGAAUUAGAUUGAGUGGCUACAUGAAGAAAGGAGAUGUGUCACACGUUUUGGCACACUUUCUUAAGAGUUAUGUCACAGAAACUCAUUCGGAUACAUUAGAACGUGUGAGUGAAUCAAAGAAACAGUGAAGAGCAUGCAGCAUAACUCAUAGAAGAGAAGCUGAGCUUACAAAGACAAAGUGACAUCCUUUUUUUUAGUUUCUGGUGAAGCUAUGUUCAUGGAGGUUGUCUUAGGUAUGUAGCUCAAUGGAUGAGUCAAAAGGCUGCAGAAAAUGUUUGAUAAAGAUUCAUGGAAGUUCAGUUUACCAAAAGAAAGGAAAGCCAAGAAUAACUGGUUAUGAACAAGUUCAAAGGUUAUAAAUCUGUGGGUAAAAGGACUCUUACGGAUUUGUUUGAAGGUCGUUGAUUGGUUAAGAUAUUCAGAAACGAAUUGCAGAUCUCUAGAGAAUUGCAGGUUUUCGAAACUAAGUUGCAGAUCCUAGAAUAAGUUGCAGGAUUCUGAAUUAUUAUGUUUUUUAGGGCUGAGUAAGCUAAGAAGAGGUUAUUGGAGUGAUUCAGUGGGAUUCUUAGAAGAAGAAAAUGGAAGAGACAAGUGCAAGUGCUGCAUGAACUGUCUCAAGGCUACUCACUUCAAUAAUGUGAAAGUGUCAUGUAUCUAGUUUGAUAAACGACACAUCUCAAUGCUGGUGGCAGUGGCUGAAAAGAAGCUCUAGAAGGAAGCAAAUGCAAGAAAUUUAAACUGCAUUUAGAAGACAGUAACUAAGGAGUUUGAGUUAGCUGUCUGCAUCAUGAGAAGAUUACAUAAGUAACUACUCAAGGGAAAUUCACUCGCAGGUUAGUCAAGUGAACGGUUUUUCAAAGUAUCAGAGAAUCAUAAAGAAGACAAAGGCUCUAGUACCAAUUUUUCUGUUAUCCACCUGUUUUAUAUAUAGAUUUGAAGAGAUGAGAUUUUUAAAUUGCUACAAAAGAGAGAGUCUACAAUUUCACAAGCUUGUACCAAUUUCAGCAAAAUGAUUGGACAAACUUGUACCAAUAUAUUUAACAUGUUUAGAAAAUAUUCAACUCACUUAGUUUGAUUUCUUCAGCUGCGAUUCUUUGAAUCAAGUUUUCAGUUAUAAGCUUCAACCUGUAAAAAUGGCUGCAGAACAAAAUGAUGAGGAAAUUUUUUAGUAUCACAAAGUCCAGAUUCAAGUUUUUUUUCAAUUGUAUCUAAAACACACACAACUUUCAGAUUGAAUAAAAUCUGAAUUUCAUUCUCAGCAGGGGCUAAUAUAAAAAUGACAAAAGGAGAGGAGGAGGAUAGGAGCUAUAUGUCUACUAUUUUUAGUUUUUUAGCCAAUGAGAGAGCUCCACUUCAUACCCCACUUUUACCGAUCGUGCCAUUUCACAGUCACUCUCACCCAUGUCGCGUUGAGCGCGUGUCUACGAUUUCUAAAGGGGGUUAAUCCACAAAAAUCAUUCAUUUUUCGAUCCACGCACCUCAUUCUCAAAAACCCGUCGCGUGUCUUAUUUUUUUUUGUUUUCUUCUCUAAACCAAAGUAAACCGAACCAAGAUCAAUUUGAAUUUCAAAACCAAUGUAAACCCAUAAAACCCAUCGCUGUUUCACUUUCACUAUCCAAUUCCAACGAACCAGAUUGAUAAUUUUGAUUCGAUUCCACACAGAGAUCAUAAUCUAAACCAAUGCGAUUAAUAAGAGAGCCAAAUCUUACAGUAUAGCUUAAAAUCUUAGCUAAAUCCCAAAAACACGAGAUUCUAGGCGAAAAGAGAAGAAAAAAAAAUUGCCAGAAUGCAUAAACAGCAGAGGCCAGAGGCCUCCAUUUUCACCGGAGUGACAAAUUCCGGGAUUACUUCCUGGUCGGAGGUGAAGAGUCGGAGUGAAACGGCGACGUUUAUACGUGGGCCAUAAAUGGGCUUUGACGGAACUCAAAUUAUAUUAAAAGUAUAUUUAGCAUUCAAGUAAUUAAUUUAGAAAUUCAUUUGUUUCUGUAAAAUAUAUAUAUUUGCUGUAAACAACGAUUGUGAUUCUGGUUUCUGGAUACUUAUAAAGCUUUUAGAAGGAAAAAAAAUUCAAAUAAAUUGUAAAAAAAAUAUAUGUAAAUGAUAUUUAUCCUUUUAAUAUUUUUGAGCAUUAUGGCUCAGAUUUAUAUGGAAAUAAUUAGUUAGAGAGAACUUUAAUUAGUGGAAAUUCUCAAACGAUUAUAUUCUAUACAUAAAUCGUGUGCAUUAAUAACCUGACUUCAAAGUUCAAAGUCUUAACACUUGCCAUAAAUGUUUCGAUAGUAAUAUCAAUUUUAUAUUAGGAGAAAAACUAAAAACUAUGUUAAAUCUGUGUCAGAAUUAUAAUAAUCCCUUUAUCUUACCAUACAUUUAGUUGACUCACAUUUUUACUUCAUCACCCAACUGUUCUCAGAGUUUUACUGAAAUUUCUCAUCAUCUCUAAUCACUGCAUUGUAGAUUCUCAGUCACAUGACAUCAUCUCCGAUGGGAAAACACGGCGGGUCAAAGACUAGAACCACCGUUUGUUUAUCAGAUGGUGUUAUCUUUCUCGCCGGAGCUUUCAUGUCUCUUACCCUCGUCUGGUCUUACUUCUCUAUCUUUUCACCUUCUUUCACUUUCACCUUCACCGGUUUACGUCACGGCUGCGAAUCGGUUCAAUGUUCCGGUUUAAACAUGCAAUUAGACCCUCCCGAGCCCGGUUUUUACGACGAUCCGGAUCUAAGCUACUCGAUCGAGAAAUCAAUCACAAACUGGGACGAGAAACGGCACGAAUGGUUUAAAUCACACCCUUCAUUCAAACCCGGUUCAGAAAACCGGAUCUUAAUGGUAACCGGUUCACAAUCCUCGCCGUGUAAAAACCCAAUCGGAGACCAUUUGUUACUCCUCCGAUGUUUCAAAAACAAAGUCGAUUACGCUAGAAUCCAUGGUCACGACAUCUUCUACAGCAAUUCUCUUCUUCAUCCGAAGAUGAAUUCGUAUUGGGCGAAACUUCCGGUGGUUAAAGCUGCGAUGCUUGCUCACCCAUUUAUGGAUUGAAGCUUUAGGUAAUUUUCUCAAACACAUUUAUGGAUUGAAGCUUUAGGUAAUGAAUGAGCUGAAUUUGCAUAUAAAAAAUCGAUACUUUCAUUUUCCAGAACAAACCAAGAUUUAGCAUAAAUGUUCAAAAUUGAAACUUUGAUUCCUAACUUCUUGGAAUGAUUCAUAUUGAGCUAGAUUUAGAUCUGUAUGAUUGAUAUGAUGGGUUUGGUUUGUUUAUGAGUAGAGAGAAAAUGGGUGAUGAGGCAGAGAUCAAGGAACAUUUAAAGCCACAAGCUUCAUCUGAAACAAUAGACAAGAAACAUAAUGUGAAAGGGAAGAGGUUAUGGCAGAAAGUCAAGUAUCAAUUGGUGGAGUUUCAUUCAUUGCCUGCUUAUUUAAGAGACAAUGAGUACAUCAUUGGUCAUUACCGAUCCGAAUGGCCGAUCAAACAGAUUCUUCUCAGCAUCUUUACCAUUCAUAAUGAGACUUUGAAUGUUUGGACGUAAGUGUUGAAUCAUGUUUCUUGAUGUAUCCUUGUUUAAAGUUCAAGAAACCUUGAGUGUGUUUGUGUGUGUGUGUUCUUUGGGAUUUGCAGGCAUUUGAUUGGGUUUUUCCUGUUUUUGGCACUCACUAUAUACACUGCAACGAAAGUACCGAGUGUCGUGGAUCUUCAUUCGCUUCAACACCGUUUACCCGAUUUGUUGAGGAAAACAGAUCUCCACAAACUUCAUUCUGAGCUCAUGUCUCGCCUUCCUUCUAGUCCAUCUAGUUGGCAUGUGAUGGACCUUCUUUAUAACUGUUUGCCUGAAAGAUUUUCUCAUGGCAACUACACUGACAUGUGUGUUCUGGUAAGAAAAGACUCAAUCUUUCUCUCUAUUCCUGCAGAUUACUGUUUCAAAAUGUGGCCAAGUUCAUGUCUUUGUAAUUGCAUUGCAGCAUUCUGUGAGGGAAGAUCUUGCAAACUUGAUAGCUCCUUUGAUCUUCAGGCCAAUUACUCGAUGGCCGUUUUAUGCAUUUCUAGGUGGUGCUAUAUUCUGUCUAUUAGCAAGCAGCACGUGCCACCUCCUCUCAUGUCACUCCGAGCGAGUCUCCUACAUAAUGCUUAGGCUUGAUUACGCCGGCAUCGCAGCUCUAAUAGCGACUUCCUUCUACCCUCCGGUUUAUUACUCCUUCAUGUGUGAUCCUUUCUUCUGCAACCUCUACUUAGGAUUCAUAACCAUCUUAGGAAUCGCCACUGUGCUUGUUUCUCUCCUCCCGGUUUUCCAAAGCCUGGAGUUUCGGGUGGUGAGGGCGUCUCUGUUCUUUGGAAUGGGAUUCUCUGGCUUAGCUCCGAUUCUUCACAAGCUGAUCAUCUUUUGGGACCAACCUGAAGCCCUUCAC